AGUGUGGCCAGAUUGGGCGAUUUGUCGCAAUUUGGGCUACUUUUUUCAAAAUUUGGCGACCAUUUUUUAGCAAAAAUCGCAAGUCGCAAAUUGGGCGAUUUCCAAAAUCAAUUGUGCGACUAAGCGAAAUCAAAAAUGUCGGCUGAUCAUUAUCUGUCCGAAUCGUAAUAUCGUAAAGUGUAUAUUAAUAGGCCAUUACAACUCAAAAGAAGAAGAAGUUUAGUUUCUCCCAAUAUCUCUGGUUUCUCCGCACCCUGUUCUGACACUAAACUGGCGCUGCGUUCAGGGCGUUCCUAAAGUCCCUAGAUAUAUAAAGUACCGCAAUUACCGCCAUAUUGGCGCCAAAACUAGCGGCAAAUUUAAAAAGGAGGCCAACAUUUCGCUGUUUCGGCUUUUUAAGCAGCUGGUCGGUCCGGCGCCAAUAUGGCCGACCAACAUUGACAGGCAAGCCGUAAAAUAAAAUAUUUAUUAAUUGUAAUAGAAUUACGUUUAUUAUCUACAGUUUACCUUCAUUUUAACGCCUAUAUAUGUUAAGAGGUUAUAAACGAAUGGUUUCCGUACAAGUGUUUUUCAUUUGUAUUAGCAUUUAUUUUAUGUUACCUUUUAGCGCAAAGUACGCCAACAGAAUACUUAAUUCAGUCGAAACAAUUGGAAAAACUUUGUUUGUUGAUGAGAACGGGAUACCUAUACCAUAAGUAAACUUUCCCUAUUAUACCAGUUAUGCUGUAGUUAGUUUUGACAAAUAAGCAUGAUUUAACGAAAGUCUUUGGAACUAUGAAUAAGCUACAAACUUAAAUUUGAAGGCCGGCUUUUAUACGAGAAAAUUUUGAACCAUGGUUGAAACAAAUAAAUGUAAUAAUUAAAUUGAUAUGAUACA
rnacentral:lncRNA from 1 species